AGGCACAUGACAGUUCCCAGGCUUGGGGUUGAAUCAGAGCUGUAGCUGCUGGCCUACACCACAUCUGCAGCAACGCCAGAUCUGAGCCCCAUCCUUAAUCCACUGAGAGGGGCCAAGGAUCCAACCUGCAUCCUCAUGAAUACUAGUUGGGUUUGUUUCUGCUGAGCCCAAACAAACCCUUAAGAAAGUUUCAGAAUUUGAUUUUGGGGUUUGUGGAAAUUUACUUUUCAUGAAGACAAUUUCUAAGUAUUUGCAUGUUACAUGUGCCAGAAUAUUUUCCUCUAUGUGGAUUGGGUCAAAAAAGAAAAGUGGCAAUUUCCCAUACUGAAAUCACUGAGUAAAGAGACAAAGAUAUCUCAGGCAUGUCCAAAGCUGAUCACAACCAUGUUCCAGAGUCUAGUCCUCAGCUUUGCAGAAACUUUAAUUUUGUCAAGUGCCCAACUCCUAUCAAAUUUUUAGCAACUGCAAAGGUUAAUCAAACUGCUGCUGCUCCUUCUCCUCCUAUUACUAACAGCUAACAUUUAUUGAACACUCUGUGUGUGCUAGACAGUAUGCAAUGUUACAUACUUGGUUUAACUCAUCCAAUACUAACAUCUGAGACAAGGUACUAUUAUUAAAUCACAUUUUGCAGAUGAGCAAGCUGAAGUACCAGGAGAUUCAAAACUUGGUUAAAAGUAGUCAGCUCUUUAAUAGUGGAGCCAAGCUUCAAACCCCACUCUGUCACACUCCGUGACACUUACACUCUUCGUCAUUACACUACACCAUCUCUCCUAAAAAAAGAUUUUUGAACUAAAAUUAUUUUUUUAUUUUUUACUAAAGUAUGGUUGAUUUGUGCCAAUUUCAACUGUACAGGAAAGUGACUUAGUCAGUAUAUACAUACGCACAUACAUACAUACAUUCUUUUUUUAAAUAUUAUUUUCCAUCAUGGUCUGAACCAGAAGAUCGGAUAUAGCUCCCUGUGCUAUGCAGUAGGACCUUAUUGUUUAUCUAUUUUAAAUGUAAUAGUUUGCAUUUACUAACCCCAAACUCCCAGUCCACCCCACUUCUUUCCCCCUUGAACUAAAAUUAUGUCUGUUAAUUUACAGUAGACGAUAUUAAUUUUCAGGGACUAAUAACUCAGUAGCAAAACAUCAAACAAAGGAAAGUCAAUGGUCUAAGUACAGCUGAGAGGUGGUUAAUUAACAUAGGUUUGCUCCUUCCAAGACAGUGCUAAGUGCUAAACUCUAAGCUAGUCUAGCUCUCUCUAAUUAAGACAUCAAGCUGACCAAGUCCCUUUCAUUACUAUUCUUCCUUUAGAGAAGAAACAACAAAUUGAUUAGUUUAGGGCUUGAUGGCUUUACAGUUUCACACUUUUUAACACAGUCUUUUCUCAGAAAGCCUCACUCUUAAGUUGCUUUAUACUCCCAAACCACCCAUUUGGAUUUCUAUCAUUGGGGCACUCUUGCAUCGCAUUUUUCCUCUUCUUAGUUUUACUCUUGGUCAAAGCCCUGUCAUUCUUUAACAGUAGUUCCCCUCUCUCUCCUAUAUACUUCAGUACUGACUGCAGUCCAGUACUUGGCUAGUGAGAAGUUAAUUUCUUUAUACAAUAUAAAAGUAGUAUAAACAUGCCACUAAGAGUUUUUCCUUCCAGAAUUUCUCAACCUUCUUGAGGGAACAGAAGAUUAUGAAAUGUUGAAAAAAGAAAAGAAAGUUGUGGUUGAAUACAGCUGUUCAGAUUGACCUACAGCACAAACAUACACAGUGCAUACGGAAAUACAUCUUAAAAGAUAAAUGUUGGUAAUACUUUUAUAAUAUAAAGAUGAUUUUUAAAUUAAAAACUGAUACCUGUGCAAAAGCUCUAAACUUGUUUUUGUUCUAAAGUUUUCACACCUAAGCCAAAAUGUUUGACAAUGAUUUAAAAAUGAAACUAAGAUGGAGAAUAAAGUAAGAUAAAAAGUGAAUUUUUCUUUAAUGUUUCUCCAGAAAUACUGAACCUAGGAAAGGCAAAUACGUUUUGAAAGCUGCAAUGAAAGGAUUAAGACAUACCCCCCUUCAUAAACUAAUAUUGUUGAUAUUUAAUAACCAUAACUUGAGAAUUAUUUAGUAGGUCAUGUUAGGAAAUACUAGAAUAUUCACUGAAUCAAAUUAAGUAACUUUCACAUUCAAAUUGAAUCUGGGAAUGUGAUCUUAAUUUAAUAUGAAAUUUAUGUAGGUGAAACUGAUUUCAAAAGAAUCAGCAGAAAUAAAAACAACUCUUAAAAAAAAAAACUCCCUAAUUUAUAUUGACAUGUAAUUGGUUACAUGCUCUUAAAGAAAGUGUUCAGUACAACUGUACAAAAGCAGUAUACAGUACUAUUAUUUUUUCACAGCAACCAGGUUAGCAAAGCUCAGCCUAGAAUUGGCCUUCCUUUAAUAGAAAUAAAUAAUACUUAGCUAAAAAGACAGGCAAGCCAAUCAGGGUUUUCCUUAAAUGAGCUUGAAAGCAAUUUGUUAUAGGUUGGAUAAUUGCUUCUUUUCGUACUGUUUACAUUAUUAUAUUCUUAGAAAUUCUCUUUUGUACAAUAGACUUGUAUUCAGAGUGAAAAAAUAUUUAUUGAGGCCUAUUAGGAGCUAUGCAUAUAAUAAGUACUCUCAGUAAAUUACCUGUUUUGUCCAACAGUAAUUGUCAUUAAAUUCUUUUUUUUGUCAUUAAAUUCUUAACAGAAUAAAGUUUAAUUAGUGAGGCUUUACAAAAUUGAUAUUCUUUCUAUAUAAAGAAUAUAAAAAGAUCUUUAUUGUUUAAUCCUUUCCAGAAGAAUCUUGAUAAGUAGAUAAGGAAAAAUCAAUAAGGUGAAACAAACAUAAACUGUACAGAACUUCUAUUUUCUUGCUAGAGAUUUUCUAGAGAUAGACCGAUUCCUUCCAUAAUUUGAAAACUGAAAAAAAAACUAUAAAUUUGUAGCAUUACCUGAGAGAAUCCAUACUUUAUUCACCCAAAUAAAGGCUUAUUUAAGUCUCCUUUCUCCUAUACUCUGUAUACCACAUCUACACAUACACGCCAAGUGAAGUUAAAACAGAUGAAAAAAAAAUACAAAUACCUAAAAAUUUCCUCUUUUUUGUGGAACAUUUACAACUCGUGUAUCCUGUUUAUAGUGUAAUGCCUUUUUCUUACAAGUGGUAAAAAAAAAGAAGUUAAAUAUGUAUUUACAGCGUUGGUGUCUGGCAAAUGCAUUGCAUAAAAUCGAAACUGGAUUUUUAGCGAUUCUAACAUAAAGAUUUUCAGAUAUUUGAUAUACAGAGUGGUUGAGCAUCAAGGCUGCUACUCAGAAAAGACUUCUAAAGUCCCAGUCCUCACGAACUGAGACUCAGGGGAUGAUACAAUACAAAGCAGAAAGCACUAGAAAGGAAGCACAAAUGUUACCCCGUGCUUCAAAUGCAAAUUUCAGAAUUGCCAUACCAAAAUGAUUUAAGGAUUUAGGGUUUUGUCAUAAUUUUAGCAUAAUGGGGUGAAAAAACCCUCUAUUCCUUUGUUCCCCAGACUCCAAGAACUCGGACCAUGUUGGUGAAAAUUGGUGACUGGUUCUGAGGGGGGCUGGAGGGUCGGUGCAGGGCGGGCGGUCCCUGGGGGUGGUUGCCCCUUUUGAGGCCUAUGGUGUAGACACCAAUACUCAGAACGCCGGGGUUCCCUGGCUGAACUCACGAUUACCUCUGAUGAGCCCCAAAGAUCAAUGAGUAUCACUCUAGGCCUGGUCCCCCAGCAGAAAGGCGGCGACGGCGCAACAUCAGCGGUUAAAUUUUACAGACUUUCAAAAGGCCGGUCUAGUGCACCUGUAACAAGAUUACUAGGGCCGAGGGGCCGUAUCUGGGAAAAUGAAAGGAUGGAAGGAGAGGGAAGGAAAAUGAGGAGGGCACAGAGAAAAGGGGGAGGGGAGGGGGCGGGACAACGCAGGGAAGGCCACGGGUUUAUGGACGAGAUCGUGGAGUUGCCAUGGAAACGUAUCCCUCCGCCCGUGAUCCGCGUCUUAGCCCCCUCAGUUCCCUCCGCGCGGCUUCUCGUCUGUUU
rnacentral:lncRNA from 1 species